rnacentral:misc_RNA from 1 species
UUAAAAAUCAUAUAAUUUUUUAAAUAACUUUUAGUGAACUAAUCCUAAAGUUAUCAUUUUAAUCUUGGAGGAAUAAAUUUAAACCCUAAUCUAAUUGGUUUAUAUGUGUAUUAACUAAAUUACGAGAUAUUAGUUUUUGACACUUUUUUUCUCGU